rnacentral:rRNA from 1 species
UACGAAGGGGGCUAGCGUUGUUCGGAAUUACUGGGCGUAAAGCGCACGUAGGCGGACUAUUAAGUCAGGGGUGAAAUCCCGGGGCUCAACCCCGGAACUGCCUUUGAUACUGGUAGUCUCGAGUCCGGAAGAGGUGAGUGGAAUUCCGAGUGUAGAGGUGAAAUUCGUAGAUAUUCGGAGGAACACCAGUGGCGAAGGCGGCUCACUGGUCCGGUACUGACGCUGAGGUGCGAAAGCGUGGGGGAGCAAACAGGG